rnacentral:rRNA from 1 species
ACGCUGGCGGUAGGCUUAACACAUGCAAGUCGUGCGAGAAAGUAUCUUCGGAUACGAGUAUAGCGGCGGACGGGUGAGUAACGCGUAGGAAUCUACCUAGUAGAAGGGGAUAGCCCGGGGAAACUCGGAUUAAUACCGUAUACCUCCUUUGGGAGAAAGAGGGCCUCUCUUUGAAGCUUUCGCUACUAGAUGAGCCUGCGUAAGAUUAGCUUGUUGGUGAGGUAACUGCUCACCAAGGCUACGAUCUUUAGCUGGUCUGAGAGGACGAUCAGCCACAUUGGGACUGAGACACGGCCCAGACUCCUACGGGAGGCAGCAGUGGGGAAUAUUGGACAAUGGGCGCAAGCCUGAUCCAGCCAUACCGCGUGUGUGAAGAAGGCCUUCGGGUUGUAAAGCACUUUAAGCAGGGAGAAAAAGUUGUAAGUUAAUACCUUACAACCGUGAUGUUACCUGCAGAAUAAGCACCGGCUAAU